CCUACGGGAGGCAGCAGUGGGGAAUAUUGGACAAUGGGCGAAAGCCUGAUCCAGCAAUGCCGCGUGAGUGAUGAAGGCCUUCGGGUCGUAAAGCUCUUUUACCAGGGAUGAUAAUGACAGUACCUGGAGGAUAAGCUCCGGCUAACUCCGUGCCAGCAGCCGCGGUAAUACGGAGGGAGCUAGCGUUGUUCGGAAUUACUGGGCGUAAAGAGUACGUAGGCGGUUAUUCAAGUCAGAGGUGAAAGCCCGGGGCUCAACCCCGGAACUGCCUUUGAAACUAGAUAACUAGAGUCUUGGAGAGGUUAGUGGAAUUCCGAGUGUAGAGGUGAAAUUCGUAGAUAUUCGGAAGAACACCAGUGGCGAAGGCGACUAACUGGACAAGUACUGACGCUGAGGUACGAAAGCGUGGGGAGCAAACAGGAUUAGAUACCCUGGUAGUCCACGCCGUAAACGAUGAUAACUAGUUGUUCGGUCACUUGGUGACUGAGUGACGCAGCUAACGCAUUAAGUUAUCCGCCUGGGGAGUACGGUCGCAAGAUUAAAACUCAAAUGAAUUGACGG
rnacentral:rRNA from 1 species